UACGUAGGGUGCAAGCGUUGUCCGGAAUUAUUGGGCGUAAAGAGCUCGUAGGCGGUCUGUCGCGUCUGCUGUGAAAAUCCGGGGCUCAACCCCGGAACUUGCAGUGGGUACGGGGCAAGACUAGAGUGUGGUAGGGGAGAACUGGAAUUCCUGGUGUAGCGGUGAAAUGCGUAGAUAUCUGAAGGAACAUCAGUGGCGAAAGCGACUUCCUGGACCAGAACUGACGAUCAGGCACGAAAGCGUGGGGAGCAAACAGG
rnacentral:rRNA from 1 species